CAGUAGCCGCGGUAAUACGUAGGUGGCAAGCGUUGUCCGGAAUUAUUGGGCGUAAAGGGCUCGCAGGCGGUUUCUUAAGUCUGAUGUGAAAGCCCCCGGCUCAACCGGGGAGGGUCAUUGGAAACUGGGAAACUUGAGUGCAGAAGAGGAGAGUGGAAUUCCACGUGUAGCGGUGAAAUGCGUAGAGAUGUGGAGGAACACCAGUGGCGAAAGCGACUCUCUGGUCUGUAACUGACGCUGAGGAGCGAAAGCGUGGGGAGCGAACAGGAUUAGAUACCCCCGUAGUCCCUGUCUCUUAUAC
rnacentral:rRNA from 1 species